CCUACGGGGGGCAGCAGUGGGGAAUAUUGCACAAUGGGCGAAACCCUGAUGCAGCGACGCCGCGUGAGUGAAGAAGGAAUUCGUUAUGUAAAGCUCUAUCAGAAGGGAAGAAAAUGACGGUACCUGAGUAAGUAGCCCUGGCUAACUACGUGCCAGCAGCGGCGGUAAUACGUAGGGGGCAAGCGUUAUCCGGAUUUACUGGGUGUAAAGGGAGUGUAGACGGCAGUGCAAGUAUGGAGUGAAAGGCGGGGGCUCAACCCUCGGACUGCUCUGGAAACUGUACGGCUGGAGUGCAGGAGAGGUAGGUGGAAUUCCUGGUGUAGCGGUGAAAUGCGUAGAGAUUAGGAGGAACACCGGUGGCGAAGGCGGCUCACUGGACUGUAACUGACGUUGAGGCUCGAAAGCGUGGGGAGCAAACAGGAUUAGAUACCCGAGUAGUC
rnacentral:rRNA from 1 species